UACGUAGGGAGCAAGCGUUGUCCGGAAUCAUUGGGCGUAAAGCGCGCGUAGGUGGCCACAUAAGUCCGUUGUGAAAGUCAAAGGCUCAACCUUUGAAAGCCGAUGGAUACUGUGUGGCUAGAGUACGGAAGAGGAGACUGGAAUUCCUGGUGUAGCGGUGAAAUGCGCAGAUAUCAGGAGGAACACCGGUGGCGAAGGCGGCAUUCUGGACCGACAUUGACGCUGAGGAGCGAAAGCCAGGGGAGCAAACGGG
rnacentral:rRNA from 1 species